rnacentral:other from 1 species
CUUAUCCUGCCCGGUGCGUGCGGUUGAAUGACCCACUCGCCCUAUGUAAAAACCCACAAGAGAGAAAGGGAGCUCAUAUUCCAAAGUGGUGUGCAGGCCUCCCGCCUUGCCUUUCUGCGAGGCGGACGUUGGAAGUACUGAAGCGUUGGAGAGAGCACCCACCUGCACAGAGCAGGGUUUCUUCUCAUGGGGGCACGGCCGUGGCGGGGCUUAA